CGCAAGAUUAAAACUCAAAUGAAUUGACGGGGGCCCGCACAAGCGGUGGAGCAUGUGGUUUAAUUCGAUGCAACGCGAAGAACCUUACCUACUCUUGACAUCCAGAGAACUUUCCAGAGAUGAAUUGGUGCCUUCGGGAACUCUGAGACAGGUGCUGCAUGGCUGUCGUCAGCUCGUGUUGUGAAAUGUUGGGUUAAGUCCCGCAACGAGCGCAACCCUUAUCCUUGUUUGCCAGCGAGUAAUGUCGGGAACUCCAGGGAGACUGCCGGUGAUAAACCGGAGGAAGGUGGGGACGACGUCAAGUCAUCAUGGCCCUUACGAGUAGGGCUACACACGUGCUACAAUGGCGCAUACAGAGGGCAGCCAACUUGCGAGAGUGAGCGAAUCCCAAAAAGUGCGUCGUAGUCCGGAUCGGAGUCUGCAACUCGACUCCGUGAAGUCGGAAUCGCUAGUAAUCGUGGAUCAGAAUGCCACGGUGAAUACGUUCCCGGGCCUUGUACACACCGCCCGUCACACCAUGGGAGUGGGCUGCAAAAGAAGUAGGUAGUUUAACCUUCGGGAGGACGCUUA
rnacentral:rRNA from 1 species